CUGGCUGCAAGAAUCCCUCUUUGGCCACUAAACGGUUUUAGCAGAACCACAGAUUCGUUCUGAGGGGGACAAUUUGGAUUCGGAUUCAGCAAGAAGUAGAAAAGGUGCAGACGCGGCCAAGAACAGGGCUCCCUCUGCAAAGAAUCCAAGCCCAAAGGAAACGCGGAAGGGAUGGAGAAGAGAGACGCGGGAACGAGCAGGGAGUCUCUCCCGUCCUACACUGGCGACUCAAGGGGGCAUCGGCAGUCGGUGGGAGGCAGAGUGUGGUCUCCCAGCAGAGGCAAGUGUGCUGACCUCCAGGCCAGUGUCAGUGGAGGGGAGCUCUGAAGGGUCUGCAGACGCGCCCUCCGGAAACAUCAGGUUUCAGUGGCAUCCAUCCAGAUGAGGCUGAGAUGCUGUUUCUAACAAACCUCCCGAUGCUGCUGAUGCUGCAUAUCUGAAGACCACACUUUGAGAAGCAAGGAUCUAGGAGUUGUUUGUUAUUCAUGGAAUAAAUAUAUUUCCCAUCAUGUUCCAGCUGCUCUGGUUAAACAAGCCACUAUUGUCUUUUCCAGAAAGAUUUCUCUGACUCCAGCUCCCCUUUGGGUGCUCCUUUUUCUAAACUGUAAUUGAUUAAUAAUUCACCAUUUAUUUCAUGUGUGGAGCAGGGAUAGUGGUGCUUGCCUGAUGUGCAUUCCUUACAAACACCUACCUGGGCAUCGGGGACACAGUGUCCCCUCAAACAAUCUCUGCUGAUUAACUGGAAGAUAACACUAGCUUACAUUUUUGGAGGACAUACCAUGUGCCGGGUACCUAGCUAAGUGUUUUACAUGCAUUGUCUCCCUCAUUCAGCUACUACUGUCCUCAUUUCACAGAUGAACAAACAAAGGCCGAUCUGCCUUGUCGACCUCUGCCCACCACCAUAAUCCACAGGGGUACUGCCCGCUAGGGGGCAUUUUGGAAAUUUGCAGGUACUUUCAUUGGUCAUCACAAUGAUGGGAGGAGGGGGCCACUGACAUUUAGUUGGGGGUGGCCCCAGAUGCAGGAGAUUGGUCUGUGUCCCACAUGGCUUUCAUUUGUCAGACCUGACCUUUGCUUCAGUUGAAAUGUGCAUCGAAUUACGGUGGAACUUUAACUUUGUUUUACAUAUAAACACAAAAUGUUUUUGCAUCUUGUGAAUACACACAGGAAUUUCUGGAAAUGCAACUACUGUAUAAGUCUAGGAAGGGAUGGUACUCUUUUUACCACUUUGGAAAAUCAGGACACAGAAGCCAGUUCCAUUCAUGUUAUCUGUUUCAGCAAUCAACACAUAUAUGAUGCCCACAAGCCCAGUAAUUUCAUAUGUGUAUAUUUCUUUAGUUCCUGUUUCAAAAUAACAGCAAUUUAAAGAAAAAGUGUAAAAAAUAUUCCAGAG
rnacentral:lncRNA from 10 species